GGGUGCGACCAUACCAGCACUAACGCACCGGAUCCCAUCAGAACUCUGAAGUAAAGCGUGCUUGGGCGAGAGUAGUACUAGGAUGGGUGACCCCCUGGAAAGUCCUCGUGUUGCACCCC
rnacentral:rRNA from 1 species